rnacentral:rRNA from 1 species
UACGUAGGGGGCUAGCGUUGUCCGGAAUCAUUGGGCGUAAAGCGCGUGUAGGCGGCUCGGUAAGUCUGCUGUGAAAGUCCAGGGCUCAACCCUGGAAUGCCGGUGGAAACUGUCGAGCUUGAGUCCGGAAGAGGCGAGUGGAAUUCCUGGUGUAGCGGUGAAAUGCGCAGAUAUCAGGAGGAACACCAAUGGCGAAGGCAGCUCGCUGGGACGGUACUGACGCUGAGACGCGAAAGCGUGGGGAGCAAACAGG